rnacentral:rRNA from 1 species
AUGAACGCUAGCUACAGGCUUAACACAUGCAAGUCAGGGGCAGCAUGAGAUUAGCUUGCUAAUCUUGAUGGCGACCGGCGCACGGGUGAGUAACGCGUAUCCAACCUUCCCCCUACUCAGGCAUAGCCCGGUGAAAACCGGAUUAACUCCUGAUAGUUUCACUAGAUGGCAUCUGACGGUGAAUAAAGCUUUGGUGGUGCGAGAUGGGCAUGCGUGACAUUAGCUAGUUGGCGGGGCAACGGCCCACCAAGGCGACGAUGUCUAGGGGAGCUGAGAGGCUUAUCCCCCACACUGGUACUGAGACACGGACCAGACUCCUACGGGAGGCAGCAGUGAGGAAUAUUGGUCAAUGGACGGAAGUCUGAACCAGCCAUGCCGCGUGGAGGAAAAGAAGGUCCUAUGGGUUGUAAACUCCUUUUGUUCCAGAGUAAUAAGGUCUUUGCGAAGACUGAUGAGAGUAUGGGACGAAUAAGCAUCGGCUAACUCCGUGCCAGCCGCAGC